UGCACCGGCUGGCACCUCUCUGGAUCGGGGCACGAGGGCUUGAAUUUACUUGGGACUACAUAUUCCAAGGACUUGAAGCAAAUGCCAAUCUUGUGAUGACCCUCUCCCUUGCUGCAUUAGGAUCCUUGAUGUGGCUGAGGAAGAACAAACCUAGGACAUUAAUUCCAAUAAUUUAUGCAUGUGCUCUACUUCUGAAAGGUACCAACAGGGUGCAUUUCGUCAGGAACUUGAUCACGGAGGUCGCUGGGUUUGCUCCGUAUGAGAAGCGUACCAACUGGGCUUGCUAUUGCUGAUCCGA